rnacentral:rRNA from 1 species
UACGGAGGGGGCAAGCGUUAUCCGGAUUCACUGGGUUUAAAGGGUGCGUAGGUGGGUUGGUAAGUCAGUGGUGAAAUCUCCGAGCUUAACUUGGAAACUGCCAUUGAUACUAUCAGUCUUGAAUACCGUGGAGGUCAGCGGAAUAUGUCAUGUAGCGGUGAAAUGCUUAGAUAUGACAUAGAACACCAAUUGCGAAGGCAGCUGACUACGCGAAUAUUGACACUGAUGCACGAAAGCGUGGGGAUCAAACAGG